rnacentral:rRNA from 1 species
GGUUGUAUGGGGGGCAGUCUGAUGCAGCCAUGCCGCGUGAGUGAUAGAAGGCCUUCGGGUUGUAAAGCUCUUUUUUCCGGGACGAUAAUGACGGUGCCCCCAGACCGGCUAACUUCAUGCCAAAUAAAAAAUGCCCCCGGCCCUAUUAUAAUGAAUGACCGGAUUGAUGUCUUCCACGCUGUCCCGGCGGUU